UUGCACGCUGGCGGCCGGCCUAACCCCUGCACGUCGAACGGUAACAGGAAGAAGCUUGCUUCUUUGCUGACGAGUGGCGGACGGGUGAGUAAUGUCUGGGAAACUGCCUGAUGGAGGGGGAUAACUACUGGAAACGGUAGCUAAUACCGCAUAACGUCGCAAAACCAAAGAGGCGGACCUUCGGGCCUCUUGCCAUCGGAUGUGCCCAGAUGGGAUUAGCUAGUAGGUGGGGUAACGGCUCACCUAGGCGACGAUCCCUAGCUGGUCUGAGAGGAUGACCAGCCACACUGGAACUGAGACACGGUCCAGACUCCUACGGGAGGCAGCAGUGGGGAAUAUUGCACAAUGGGCGCAAGCCUGAUGCAGCCAUGCCGCGUGUAUGAAGAAGGCCUUCGGGUUGUAAAGUACUUUCAGCGGGGAGGAAGGGAGUAAAGUUAAUACCUUUGCUCAUUGACGUUACCCGCAGAAGAAGCACCGGCUAACUCCGUG
rnacentral:rRNA from 1 species